UGCGUAGGCGGAAAAUUAAGUCAGUGGUGAAAUCCUGCAGCUUAACUGUAGAACUGUCAUUGAUACUGAUUUUCUUGAAUAUAGUUGAGGUAGGCGGAAUGUGUAAUGUAGCGGUGAAAUGCUUAGAUAUUACACAGAACACCGAUUGCGAAGGCAGCUUACUAAGCUAUUACUGACGCUGAGGCACGAAAGCGUGGGGAGCGAACAGGAUUAGAUACCCUGGUAGUCC
rnacentral:rRNA from 1 species